rnacentral:snoRNA from 1 species
AGUCUAUGGUGUGGGCACUUUUUUAGCAUUGUCUUGAAGCGCUCUCAUGCCUCAUAUAGGGAUUCACCUUCGUAUUGUUUGAAAUUAGUGAUUUCUUUCCUUAACU